GCUGCUCUUUGGAAGGGAGUGCUGUAUGAUCAUAGAGCUUCUUCAACGGGUGGCUCUGGCUGAAUGCUUCCAUAUGAGAAGUGGAUAUUACAGAAGUCUAGCUGGGCUGGUUCCUGUGACCUUGUAAGAGAGAAAUGUUGUCUUCAGGCCAUAUCCAAGCUGUGAAAUCCAGCCUUCCUCAGUUAGCUGUGGGAAAGGUACGUGACGUGGCACUGACAGCCAGCUGCAACAUGCUCGUUUUGGGCUGCUUACGGUUUCUGGUGGUUAGACAACUUUGCUUCUGCAGUGGUACCACCUCACUGUGUGGUCAGGAGGAAAUAUUUCCAAACUUUUUGUUGUUGCUUGUUUUUGUUGAGAACUGAAAGUUUAGAUGUAAUCUGGAGUUUAUGCUACUGCCUGUCAUGUGUAGAACUGGUAUCCAUUUACCUGAAAACCUGUUUCAUUUGAGUGGCCUUACUGAAGAAUAGCAUAUGCAAAAUACUGAAUAUUCUACUAGGAUGGAAAUGUGUAAGAAAAAUUAAAUUCACUGUUGCAGAACACCUCUUGCUUAUGUUUGAAAAUGUGCUGAACUGGAUCUAGGAACAAUGCUUGGUGCUUAGGUGCUCUUGCUUUCAAGACUUAAUCUUCCUGCUUAAACAUGCAGGAUGUUUGUGAAGAAGGCAGUGUACCCUUUUUCACAGAUGAAUAUGAUGAAUUCUGCCAAGGUGCAAUAAACUGUGUAGUUUAAACUCCUGUGUAGCAGCUGAAUUGCUGAUUAGAUCAGUAUUCGGCAGUCUCUGAUCUUAGUUCCUGGCUCUGAUCGCUAGAUGACUUAAUUUACUAAUUUGUUAGUGUGCACAGAAUAAUUUAUAAAUACCAUAUUCUGAACAAGAUCUUGUUUUCUACGCAUGUUAUUAAUUAGCUAAUGUUUUUGCCAGGAAAUAAGUUCAAGACAGCACACAUUUAUCCUGUUACUCGCAUCUCCUGACAAACAGCAGAGAUAGAUUCAGCCAUCAGGGGACUGCGGAUGGCAAAUAUUCC